ensembl:lncRNA novel transcript
AGAAGGGAGGUGGUCGCCCUCCGUCGUGGUCUGGCGUGUAUUCCGAGCGUUGGUGUCUGGCGGUUUCCGAGCGUUGGUGUCUGGCGGUUUCUGACCGUUGGUGUCUGGCGGUUUCCGACCGUUGGUGUCUGGCACGCGCCACCCUCUCUUGCUUUGGUUGCGCCAUGCCGAUGUACCAGACAAGAAGACAAGAAAAUGAUUUGAGGACAGCUUCAAUCGCGGUGUGAAGAAGAAAGCAGCAAAACGACCACUGAAAACAACGCCGGUGGCAAAAUAUCCAAAGAAAGGGUCCCAAGCGGUACAUCGUCAUAGCCGGAAACAGUCAGAGCCACCAGCCAAUGAUAUUUUCAAUGCUGCGAAAGCUGCCAAAAGUGACAUGCAGGGAUGUCCUUCCUGAGAUCCGUGCUAUCUGCAUUGAGGAAAUUGGGUGUUGGAUGCAAAGCUACAGCACGUCUUUCCUCACCGACAGCUAUUUAAAAUAUAUUGGUUGGACUCUGCAUGAUAAGCACCGAGAAGUCCGCGUGAAGUGCGUGAAGGCUCUGAAAGGGCUGUACGGUAACCGGGACCUGACCGCACGCCUUCACUGGCCGCUUCAAGGACUGGAUGGUUUCCAUGAUCGUGGACAGAGAGUACAGUGUGGCAGUGGAGGCCGUCAGAUUACUGAUACUUAUCCUUAAGUGAGUCCUGGGAAGAGGGGAGGCCAGUGUCUCAGACCUUUGCCCUUCCAGGGUCAUCUCCCUCCACCUGUCACAGCUGACUCUUCCAUCUGUGCAGGUUGACUGAGGUCAUUCCUGAGUUGCAGUAUGUUGAGAGGGUAAUAUUUCUGUCUUCUCUAACUCCCCAUACUCCCUUGUCUUCCACUCUCCACUUAGGAGUUUUUUGUGAGUUAUGUCCUUGUUGCUUUUGCCUCUUUUUCUUUCUAGCCUUGAUUGUGCCAGAAGACAAUGUCCCUAUUCACACACUCUUUCUGCUUUUCUGUGGGCAGGAACAUGGAAGGGGUGCUGAUGGACGUGGACUGUGAGAGCG